rnacentral:rRNA from 1 species
GAAGGGACAAAGCCGAGANNNNNUUUGGAGCAGCCUGCGUCCGAUUAGGUAGUUGGUGGGGUAAUGGCCUACCAAGCCUGCAUCGGUAGCUGGUCUGAGAGGACGACCAGCCACACUGGGACUGAGACACGGCCCAGACUCCUACGGGAGGCAGCAGUGGGGAAUAUUGGACAAUGGGCGCAAGCCUGAUCCAGCAAUGCCGCGUGGAUGAAGAAGGU